rnacentral:rRNA from 1 species
GACGAACGCUGGCGGCGUGCUUAACACAUGCAAGUCGAGCGAUGAGAUCACUUCGGUGAUGGAUUAGCGGCGAACGGGUGAGGAACACGUGAAGAAUCUGCCUUCAACUCUGGGAUAACUCCGGGAAACCGGGGCUAAUACCGGAUAUGAGCCUUGAUCGCAUGAUCGGGGCUGGAAAGUUUUUCGGUUGAAGAUGACUUCGCGGCCUAUCAGCUUGUUGGUGAGGUAAUGGCUCACCAAGGCGACGACGGGUAGCCGGCCUGAGAGGGCGACCGGCCACACUGGGACUGAGACACGGCCCAGACUCCUACGGGAGGCAGCAGUGGGGAAUAUUGGGCAAUGGAGGAAACUCUGACCCAGCGACGCCGCGUGCGGGAUGAAGGCCUUCGGGUUGUAAACCGCUUUCAGCAGGGAAUAAGCGCAAGUGAAGGUACCUGCAGAAGAAGCACCGGCUAACUAUGUGCCAGCAGCCGCGGUAAUACAUAGGGUGCAAGCGUUGUCCGGAAUUAUUGGGCGUAAAGAGCUCGUAGGUGGUUUGUUACGUCGGUUUGUGAAAUUCAGGGGCUCAACCCCUGACUUGCAGCCGAUACGGGCAAGCUAGAGUUUGGUAGGGGAGACUGGAAUUCCUGGUGUAGCGGUGGAAUGCGCAGAUAUCAGGAGGAACACCGAUGGCGAAGGCAGGUCUCUGGGCCAAUACUGACACUGAGGAGCGAAAGCGUGGGGAGCGAACAGGAUUAGAUACCCUGGUAGUCCACGCCGUAAACGGUGGGCGCUAGUUGUGCGAACCUUCCACGGUUUGUGCGACGCAGCUAACGCAUUAAGCGCCCCGCCUGGGGAGUACGAUCGCAAGAUUAAAACUCAAAGGAAUUGACGGGGCCCCGCACAAGCAGCGGAGCAUGCGGCUUAAUUCGACGCAACGCGAAGAACCUUACCAAGGCUUGACAUAUACAGGAAUAUGACAGAGAUGUCAUAGCCGCAAGGUCUGUAUACAGGUGGUGCAUGGUUGUCGUCAGCUCGUGUCGUGAGAUGUUGGGUUAAGUCCCGCAACGAGCGCAACCC